UGCUCCGGUAGUGUAGCUCGGCCAAUCAUUUCGGCCUUUCGAGCCGAUGACUCGGGUUCGAAUCCCGACCGGAGCAUC
rnacentral:tRNA from 1 species